rnacentral:lncRNA from 1 species
GUGGGUUUAAUGAUUAAAUGAAAUAUUAUUAUUAGAGAAAAUCAUUAUUAAAUAUUGUUGAUAUUUUAAAGAUUGCAUAGAUUUUAAAAAGAUUUGGUGGUUGAUGAUAUUUUAAAAAGUAGUUAAGAGAGAAUAAGAGAGAAAAUCUUAAUGGUUUUAGAUAUAAACUAAAAGAUUUUAUUAAUAUUAAAAGGAUAAAGAUAGAAUAAAAGAGUAUAAAUAGGAGAAGAGUAAAAAGGGGUUGGCAUUUUAGUACCCUAAAAGAAAAAAACGAAAAUUAGAAAUAUAAGGGAGAGAAAAGACGUUUUUGGGAGAAAAUAAAGCUGAGAACGGGCAUAAAAAAUGGGAGGACCAUCGGUGACGUUGUGAAGCUUUCUUGGUGAUUUUAGAAACAAAAAUCGUAUGAGAUCAGGUAAGGGGAGUGGCUAGAAUUAUCUUGUGUUUGUAGUGUUUAGUAUUGUAUGUUAUUUAUUAUUAUAUGUUGCAUUGUGUGUGGAUGGUAUUGUUUUUCCUCUGGUUGUAAAAUUUGGGGGUGAUGAGGGAUGUGUUGAGCGAGGAACCAUGGAUUUAAUAGGAUGUUACGUGAGAGUGAGGAUAGGAGUGUGGACGAUGAUGAUUUGCUAGUGAUGACUCUUUCGGCCGUGUGAUGCGGGAAAGAAAUU